GGAAGUACUGGCCAAAAAAUUCAUUGACAA
rnacentral:piRNA from 1 species